UCCUGCACUUAGGAUCAAGUGUAGGCAUCUGUCAGUUUGGUUUUUAACCGGACGCGCCGUCAACAUAUCCCUUUCUACAACAGAUGCUGGAUAAUGAAGAUUAUUCAGUCGGGUUUUGGGCUAGUAGCUCAGUUGGUUAGAGCACACGCUUGAUAAGCGUGGGGUCGGAGGUUCAAGUCCUCCCUGGCCCACCAUGUUUUAGUUAGCCGUUUCCUAAGGGGGCGUAGCUCAGCUGGGAGAGCACCUGCUUUGCAAGCAGGGGGUCGUCGGUUCGAACCCGUCCGUCUCCACCAGGGAAGGUUAGUUAAGGCUUUGGUGUUGAGAGUAUCUGUUGUGGGGGAGUUAGUGAUCGGACGCUCCUUAUCCUGAACUGCGAUAGCGGUGAGGAUUUGUGAUUGUCUGGUGUUGAUCUUUGUCAGUGUGAAUCGGUUGGUGCGUUUCUGGGCGUGCUGAAAGCUGUGGGUUGGUCUGACCCAUAUGAUCUGAGGUUUUGCCUUGGGUUGUAUGUUAAGCAGUGAUUAGCAUUAAGCGUUCAGAAGCGUUUUAAAGUGUGACGUGCUCGGAUGCGUUCAUGCUUAGAGCUGUUUGUAUCGUAAGGUAUGGAUGGUUUCUGUGCAUGGGGCGAGUGAGCGCGAUAAGGGCAUUCGGUGGAUG
rnacentral:tRNA from 1 species